UACGUAGGAUGCGAGCGUUGUCCGGAAUUAUUGGGCGUAAAGAGCACGUAGGCGGUCUUUUAAGAUUGAUCUUAAAGACCGGGGCUCAACCCCGGGACUGGAUUGAUAACUGGGAGACUGGAGGAUGUCAGAGGAAAGUGGAAUUCCGAGUGUAGCGGUGAAAUGCGUAGAUAUUCGGAGGAACACCAGUGGCGAAAGCGACUUUCUGGGGCAUUCCUGACGCUGAGGUUCGAAAGCUCGGGGAGCAAACAGG
rnacentral:rRNA from 1 species